CGCCCCACCCCCAAAUUUUGGGGCUCGCCCUCAUUUUUUGGGGGCGCCCGGGGCGAUUUUGGGGCUCCGUGAGCUGGAGGCGCUCCCCGAUGACGUCACCAAGCUCCCGAGCCGGUUUUGGGGCGCCCGGACCGGUUUUGGGGUUUUUUAUUUUGGGCUCGGCCUCGUUUUUGGGGGGUUCAAUUAAAGGCUUUGGGCUCUUAAUUAAAGUGUUUGGGGCGCUGAUGACGUCAUAGCGGUGGGGAUGGAGUGCUGGCGGUGAUGACGUCACCGCACCCCAAAAAUGCGGCCCCGCCCCCCCCAUCCCCCAAAAUCCCAGAGCGGCCGCGGCCGAAUUUGGGGUGAAACUGCUCGGGAUCAGUUUUGGGACCAUGGGGCGCCUGUGCCGCUGCUGCCGCCGCCGGGGUCACCCCAAGGGUCACUCCCGGGGUCACUCCCGGGGUCACUCCCGGGGUCACUCCCGGGGUCACCCCAAGGGUCAGCGCCACCCCCGGCCCUGCUCCCCUCCCCCAGCCCAGGGGCCCUGCCCGCCGAUGACGUCACCGAUGACGGUCAGCAGUGCCCGCUUACGUCAUCUGGCCGCCCCCGGCCAUCGUCACCGUGGGGACGCCGCGGGUGGCGCUGCUGGGGGAGCCCGAGCCCCAAAUCUGCUGCUUUUAGCCCCAAAAAGGAGAAUUGCACCCCAAAAUUCGGAUUUUUAACCCCAAAACCGAGAAUUAAAAAAAAAAAUCGGGAAUUUAGGACCAAAAAAUUGGGAUUUUAGAACAAAAAAUUGGGAUUUUAUAAGCAAAAAAUGAGAUUUUUGAUGA